UACAGAGGGUGCGAGCGUUAAUCGGAAUUACUGGGCGUAAAGGGCGCGUAGGUGGUUAAAUAAGUUGUUUGUGAAAUCCCUGGGCUUAACCUAGGAAUUGCAGGCAAGACUGUUUAACUAGAGUAUGGUAGAGGGAAGUGGAAUUUCCGGUGUAGCGGUGAAAUGCGUAGAUAUCGGAAGGAACACCAGUGGCGAAGGCGGCUUCCUGGACUAAUACUGACACUGAGGCGCGAAAGCGUGGGGAGCGAACAGG
rnacentral:rRNA from 1 species